AGUGAACGCUGGCGGUAGGCCUAACACAUGCAAGUCGAACGGCAGCACAGGAGAGCUUGCUCUCUGGGUGGCGAGUGGCGGACGGGUGAGGAAUACAUCGGAAUCUACUCUGUCGUGGGGGAUAACGUAGGGAAACUUACGCUAAUACCGCAUACGACCUACGGAUGAAAGCAGGGGACCUUCGGGCCUUGCGCGAUUGAAUGAGCCGAUGUCGGAUUAGCUAGUUGGCGAGGUAAAGGCCCACCAAGGCGACGAUCCGUAGCUGGUCUGAGAGGAUGAUCAGCCACACUGGAACUGAGACACGGUCCAGACUCCUACGGGAGGCAGCAGUGGGGAAUAUUGGACAAUGGGCGCAAGCCUGAUCCAGCCAUACCGCGUGGGUGAAGAAGGCCUUCGGGUUGUAAAGCCCUUUUGUUGGGAAAGAAAUCCAGCUGGCUGAUACCCGGUUGGGAUGACGGUACCCAAAGAAUAAGCACCGGCUAACUUCGUGCCAGCCGCCGCAGUAA
rnacentral:rRNA from 1 species